rnacentral:rRNA from 3 species
AAAUUGAAGAGUUUGAUCAUGGCUCAGAUUGAACGCUGGCGGCAGGCCUAACACAUGCAAGUCGAACGGUAGCACAGAGA